AAAUUGACCUAUCUUUCGGCCACUCCUCUCGACUCUUUUGUGGGAGCAGUGAGUAGCAGGCUUUUUUUCAUUAUUGUUCCGUUUUAUUUGCCCUUGAACCGUUUCCUCUACUGUAAAAAAAAAUAAAAAAUAAAAACAGCAAUAGUACUUUCAUUUGUGCACUUAGAGCGAAGAUGUUAAGUUAGAGGCAUGAAUGGGCAGAGAAAUAAGGAAUGGUUAAACUAGCGUCGUUAUACUUUUAUGGCUAAGGCAUUAACAGUUACGAGCUUACCAAUAUACGCUUACCGGUGAAAUAUUAACACUGGAAUGGAUUAUGAAUGGAUUAGAACCAGUGCCCUACGUCUAACCCACCCUAACCUAACCUAACCUUAUUUAACCUGGUAGCAGCAGGGAUCAUGUUUCUUAAUGGUCCCCCCAAGUGAGAAAAAUGAGAAAAAAUCACCCCUCACACAAACCAUUUCAUAAUAUAUAUAAAUCAAAGCAUUUGUGAUCAGAUUAUGUAUCAUCUAUUUUUUGGGGUUUAAAUCAUGGCACAAAUUUGGCCCGUCGCUGCUACACGGUAAAGCCACAAAUUUGGCCCGACGCUGCUACCGGGUUAACCUUACCUACCCUCAAAGCUACAAUAUUUAGUUACGAGGGCAGAACCAGACUCAGGUGGUUACCAAAAUAUACUUACCGGUGAAAUAUUAACACGAAUGGAUUAAAACCAGUGCCCAGCCUAACCUAACCUAAUCUACCCUACCCUACCCUCAAAGCUACAAUAUUAAUUUACGAGGGCAUGAACCAGACUCAGGAGGUUACCAAUAUAUGUUUACCAGCAGAAUAUUGAAGGAGUUAGAACCAGUGCCCAGUCUAACCUAACCUACCUUUAAGACUAGACCAUUAACAUUACAAGGGCAUUAACCAGACUCGGAAGGUUACCAAUAUAUGUUUAUUAGGUGAAAACCACAAACAGCAGCACUAACUUAGAAGGCCCAAAAGUGACCUGGGUGCUACGGAGACAUCAUGUAGUAGUAGUAACCUCACCUCUGUCUUGAGAUACACAAAAUAUAUAGUAUAGUAACAACUGUACGUGGUGGGUAGGUCUGUACGUACUCAGUAGUAUAGUAGCUUUCAAAGUAACAAAAUCACAACAAAUAGUAUUUCAAUUUUUUUUGUUUUCACUUCAUUUUUACUUUUUUUCGCUUUAUUUAUCAUAGCCCCUGAAUGGCCCCUGGGUGGAAGGAGUUCCGGAGAGGGAGAGCGAGAGGAAGGGAGCGAGAGGGAGGAAGCAAGAACGAUAGAGAGGGAGAGAAAGGAGGCGAGAGGGAGCGAGAACAAGAGCGAAAGACCGACGGAGAAACAAACACAAAAAACAGACCAUACAAGCUUCAGGAUCGACAGGGAACAAACAUCACAGACAUCACUCUAGUCCGUGUCGUCCGUGGCUACGAUAACAAACACCUUGAGUCUACGUAAUAUCCUGAUUUAUGACUUGUCUGUGCGUCGGUCUGUGUCGCGGCAGUGAGGAGGGGAGGGAGGGGGUGAGGCCUGGACACGCUACGCAGGUUGAGGCUCUACGAUGCGUUGUGGGGGCCAGUGACAGCUAUGGGGAUUAGGCGACGCAGACAGAUGCACAGCAGUAGGCGACGAGAUGUGGAAGAUGUAGUAGUAGAAGUAGUAGUAGUAGUAGUAGUAAUAGUAAAAGGAUUAAUAGUAGUAGUAGAAGGAGAAAUGCAAUAAAGAACAGCAAAAUUGAGGAAACAGAAGAGGAGGAGAAAGAGACAAGUUAAAAGAUGGGACAGAAACAGAAGGAACCAAAGUCCAUAAUCUCAUAUAUUCAGAGGAGGAGGAAGAGGAAGAGGAGGAAUAAGAGAAAAGAAGGUAGUAAAUAGAGCAGGAAUACAGGGAAUGAUCAUAGCUACUCAAUUCCAGCUAUAUAUAAAAAAGGAGAUAGAGAAGAAGGAAGAAACAAAAGGAAUUAAGAACAGAAUCACAAAUAUAAAAAAGACACACAGAGGAAGAUAAAUGACAAGAGAGGGAGAAGUAACAAUGAGGCAUAAAAAGAGAUAAAAAGAGGAGGAAGGAGAUGAUACAAGAAAUAACAAGAGAUGAAAACUAACAAUAUAAAAGAUGAGAAAGAAAAAGAUGAACACUACAGGACAAAGAAAACGGAGAGACUACAAAAGAUACCAAGGGAAUUUCUACCACCAACGGGCCUUUAUUUGGGAAGACUGGCGGUGAUAUUUCCAAUUAGCGUUAGCCAGGUUCAGGAAUAGAGGUCGUCAACGUGCAGCAAGACAGUGAGGAGGGUGGGGUGGUGGGUGGUGGUGGUGGUGGGUGGUGGUGUGACGCUAACCUAACCUAACCUCGUCCCUUUGGUUGGUUGGGUGUGGUGUUAGGCUGGCUAUGCAUAUGUGUGUGUAUGUGUGUAUGUGUGUAUCUUCUGUACGUGUGUGUGUGUGUGUGUUUCCCCCUUUAAAUAUGGCUGAAUGCAGUAUUAUCAUCAACCUAAGUUACCCCCAAAUGGCUACACCCCACAGCAUCAUGUUAUAUCGCUUGGAUUCAAAAAUUAUAUCGGACGAAAGAGUUGGUACGGAAAAAAAAAUACUUUCUUGUUGUGUGGAAAACUAGACAGGCAUGAUCCCCCAAUCAAUGUGUCUAGCUGUGAGGAUGUGUGUGUGUGUGUGUGUGUGUGUGUGUGUGCGCGCGUAUAGGACUGACUUUUGAUCUCGUGCCUCCUGUAGUGUGUGUGUUAUAGUGUUUGUUAGUGUGAGUGUGUGUGUGUAUAGGAUCGAGUGUUAGUCUCAUACAUCCCAUAUCGUGUGUGCGUGUGUGUGUAAGUGUGUGUGUGUGCGUGUGAGACUAAAUUCCGUCCCUACACCACUUACAUACUUAAGAAUGGAAAACAAAAUAACCAAAGUCCACUAAUCCUAUGCUUCUCUGUUUUAAAUUUAACGAUAAAAACUUCUUCUUCUUCUCGGAAAAAGGAAUCUUUCAAAUAAUAAUGAUAAUAAAUCUAUGUUUAAUAUAUAUAUAUAAAAAAACAUUAAUUUCAUCUAAAAAAAUCCCCAAACUCAUUUUCGACGUAGAAUAAUUAAUAACAAUAAUAACUCGGUAACUUCUCAACAAACUCAACAAACGAAGGGAAAAAAAAAAGAGAAAGAAAA